AUGUCCCCCACUAUAGUAUUGGGGGACAUAUUGUUUUUGCCCUGUCUGUUGGUCUGUCUGUUUGUGCCAACUUUAACAUUUUGCAAUAACUUUUGCUAUAUUGAAGAUAGCAACUUCAUAUUUGGCAUGCAUGUGUAUCUCAUGAAGCUGCACAUUUUGAGUGGUGAAAGGUCAAGGUCAUCCUUCAAGGUCAGAGGUCAAAUAUAUGUGGCCCAAAUCGCUUAUUUUAUAAAUACUUUUGCAAUAUUGAAGAUAGCAUCUUGAUAUUUGGCAUGCAUGUGCAUCUCAUGGAGCUGCACAUUUUGAGUGGUGAAAGGUCAAGGUCAAGGUCAUCCUUCAAGGUCAGAGGUCAAAUAUAUGUGGCCCAAAUCGCUUAUUUUAUGAAUACUUUUGCAAUAUUAAAGAUAGCAACUUGAUAUUUGGCAUGCAUGUGUAUCUCAUGGAGCUGCACAUUUUGAAUGGUGAAAUGUCAUGGUCAAGGUCAUCCUUCACAAGGUCAAGGUCAUCCUACAAGGUCAAACAUCAUAUAGGGGGACAUUGUGUUUCACAAACACAUCUUGUUAUAUUUAACAGUUUCUGCGUUAUUCUUAGCUCCAACCUAGCCUGUGACAGUAUAAAUGUCAGUAAGCGAAGAAUAGCUGUUAAAGUUUUAACGCUUUCCCACUUAAAAGCGAAGUGAAAUGGGCUUAACGCAACCAGCGUAAAAACAGAACAGCUUGAGGGUAACUCACAGUCUGUUCAGAUUUUAUGCUGUUUGCUGCUUAUCAAUAGCUUAGCUUUGGAAAUGAAUCCUUUAAAACUGGAAUCUAGUAAGAAAGGUCUUCAAUGAGAUUUUCCAAGGGACGACAAAUACGUGGAAGUGGAAAUGCAAAUAUGAGACGGAAAGGGUUAAAAGAUUCUGCAGUAAUUUUUUCCCAGUGGCAUUCCUUAUGUCGACUAAUUUUUGUUUCUACCCGCCUACAGAGCCUGUAUAACGCUAAGGGAAAGAAGUAUAGAUUUUUAAGUUCUAAUCCUUGUGUUUGUCUCUUCCACAG